rnacentral:rRNA from 1 species
AGUGAACGCUGGCGGUAGGCCUAACACAUGCAAGUCGAACGGCAGCACAGUAAGAGCUUGCUCUUACGGGUGGCGAGUGGCGGACGGGUGAGGAAUACAUCGGAAUCUACUUUUUCGUGGGGGAUAACGUAGGGAAACUUACGCUAAUACCGCAUACGACCUACGGGUGAAAGCAGGGGAUCUUCGGACCUUGCGCGAUUGAAUGAGCCGAUGUCGGAUUAGCUAGUUGGCGGGGUAAAGGCCCACCAAGGCGACGAUCCGUAGCUGGUCUGAGAGGAUGGUCAGCAACACGGGACCUGAACCACGAUCCAGACCCCGACGGGAGGCAGCAGUGGGGAAUAUUGGACAAGGGCCGCAAGCCUGAUCCAGCCAUACCGCGGGGGUGAAGAAGGCCUUCGGGUUGUAAAGCCCUUUUGUUGGGAAAGAAAAGCAGCAGGUUAAUACCCCGCUGUUCUGACGGUACCAAAAGAAUAAGCACCGGCUAACUUCGU